GCCGCGGUAACUCAGCAGGUACGAGUGCAUGACUGAAGAUCAUGAAGUCGCUGGUUCGAUCCCGGCUCGCGGCACCA
rnacentral:tRNA from 1 species